CAGCAUGGUCACCGUGGCAUGGAACGGGACAGGGUAUCCAAGGGCCCUUUGUGACAUGCUGUGGCAAAGGUGUUGGCAGUGACAAGGCCACUCCACAGUGCUCUGUGCACGCGACAGGACAGGAUGGAGAGAGCGGUGCUGUGAGGAGCCCUCGCACAGCCACUCGUUCCUUGCUGACCUGGAGCUUUCCCGAGGUAUUACUCCUGCAGGUGACCUCGUGGCCAGACCAGAACACUUGGUGACCUCUGGCCUUCCCAAGGCAUCUCUUCUGCAGCUGCUCUCGAGGACAGACUGUGGUAUUUGCUUUGCACCGUCCUUGACAGGAGUCUCCUGUCCUUGUGGCUGGAGCCCCCAAGACCAGAGUGCAGGACUUGCUGUCCUGUAGCCUUGCCCAGACUUCACUCUUGCAGGUGUCCUCAAGGCACAACUGCAGCACUUGCUGACUCAGACCUUUUCCUUUUCACCUUCUGCAAGUAGCCAUGAAUCCAGGCAGUGACGUAGAGCACAGACCUGCGAGCGUGCCCAAGCUGGCCUUGGGGAAGGAGGAGAAAGAAGGCCCUGGAGCUGCCCCAGCACAGCAGCCUGAAGAGGUGGAGCAGUUCCAGCCACCACAGAAGGGUGCAGCCGUGCAGCGCACACGAGAGCAGGAACGCACCCGUGGCCGCUUCCGCAGAACAGCGCAGAUGGUUUGCAAAUUCAUGAAGAGGAUUCGGGAGGAAGAGAGCAGCGUCACGGGCACUGUGGUCAGAGCGUACUCUCCCAUCUUCAAAACCAAGACCAGUGCUGCCCUGCUGGAUAUGCUUGUGGAGGAGGGUCCUUCCAGCCCAAAGCAAGCAACUGUGGUGAUGUGGAAGAUCCUCCAGCUGCCCUGUGUCCCACAGAUGGUGACCGUGUAUUUCCCCCGCCUGUUUGUCCAUCUGCUCUUCCAAGUGCUCUUCAGCACUCUGGAUAUGCCAGAGGAGGUUGAUACCUUCUGGGAGGGAUGUCAGCAGCAACAUGGCCUUACCUCCAACCCCAGCAGCUUUGCAGAGCAGACCCUGAAGGCCCUGCUCUGCCGACUGCACUAUGAGGAUGUGGUGGUGGCCAUGGAAGACAAGCGUGGCUGGGACACGCUGCUCUGUGCUGACACCCACCACUGUGCUGUGGGCGUGCUGACCAGAGAAAUGCACCGCGCAUCCGAAGCCGUGUGUUCCGCGAUUGCAUUCCAGCUGCUCGGGCUGCUCAGCAAAGACACGCCAUGCCGGGAUUUGGCCGCCCUGGCGUUCCUUGUGGAGGUCCUGGAGCGCCUGAACCUGAGUGAAUGCCGUGACAGCGUCCUGGAGUUCUUGUCAAAGAACCUGCAGAGCGAGUGCAGGGGGAGGCGUCGCUUGGCACUCAGAGGCCUCGUGGUGCUCGGCACCACCAGUGCCUCGAUGGCCAGAAGGAUGUGGAGCCUGCAUGAAAGGCUCGUGGAGCUCCGGCAGGAAAAUGACAGUGUCAUGCUCAGGAUGACCACGGUUCUCCUCAGGGGUUUAUUUCUCUGCAAUGGUGCCCCAAUAACCAGCGCCCUCGCCCUGCAGCUGGCUGAGGCGCUCCUGCCACUCUUUGACAACGAGGAUAGCCAGGUGAAGUUGUGCUCCAUGUUUGGCUACCGAGAUGCUUGAUUUUUUUCCAGAAGAGGAUAAAAAGGCCCUGAAGACACACAUGCACCAGAGCCUGCUGCCACUCUCCUUCCACUGCCAUGAUGAGAACCAGCGAGUGGCAGAGGCUUCUCAGGAAACGCUGCGUUGUUCAGCCAGAUUCCUGAACAGGAAGGAUCUCCAACAGAUGCUGCAGGUGGAUCAGACCUGGGGGUUCAGUGGGGACCUGGUAAGACCGGCCUGCGAGCCCCAGGCUCAGGCUGGAGAAGCCCCUGACCACGCUGCUCAGGGCGUGCGGCUGGCAGCUGCUCCCCUGCCCAGGGCUGCAGCCAAGGGGCUGAGCCUGAACCAACUGCACCCUCCUGCCGCUCUCUGCAGCUGGCAGAGGACAGCAGCAGCGCGGCCGAGCACCUGCGCCGGGCCCUGCCCUACCUGCAGAGCCCACAGGAGCCCCUGCGAGAGGCGCCGUCAGGUUCAUGGGGAUGGCCGGGAGGAGCUUGAGGGGACAGCAGGAAAAGCUCCAGCUGAUCUGCAAUGGUGAGACAGGGCAGCGGGCUGCCAGCGGGGGCUGCCGGGGCGAGCUGCAAGCCCUGCCCCGGCUGCGGAGAGCUCUGCUCUCCUAGGUAGAGCACGCAGAGAUUUCAGGGACACGUGGGGGAUGCGUGGCCAGCAGCUUCGGGCUGAUCCCCUUGGUCCCUGAUCCCUCCCGGCCAUGGCAAGAGCCGGCUGGGAUGGCCCUGGCAGGGGGGGCUCCCCUCGGCUCCCCGCAGAGUCGGGAUCUGACCGUGGCUCUGUUCCUCUCUCUUGCAGCCCUUGAAUGCCUGACAGAGGAUGUCAGUAGUGCCAUGUCAGAGCUGGCACUUCAAACAUUGCAUGUGCUCCGGGCAAUACAGAGUGGGCGAUACUCCAUCUUCCAGAAGGCGCAAGAUCAUACAGCCCUCUGUGAUGUCACACUGUUAUCUCUGUGAUGUAACACAGCCCUCUGUGAUGUCACACAGCCCUCUGUGAUGUCACACUGACCCUUUGAGGUCACACAGCUUCUUGUGAUGUCACACAGCUCUCUGUGACAUCACACGGACAUCUCUGUGAUGUCACAUGGACAUCCCUAUGAUGUCACUUAGCUCUCUGUGAUGUCACACAGACAUAUCAGUGAUGUCACACAGCUCUCUGUGAUGUCACAAAACCUCCUGUGAUGUCAUACAGACAUCUCUGAGAUGUCACACCACUAUGUCUGAGGUGUCACACUGACCCUGUGAGGUCACACAGGUUAUUGUGAUGUCACAGACACAUAUUUG